CAAUUGCGAUUUAUCAACGAUACAACAAUCAAGGAUGACGGCAAAAAGUCGCAAGAUUUCUUUACAACGCGCUGCGUAUAGCUUAUCAUUGAGCUGAUUGAUGGAUGAUUAGAUAUUCUACCUUAAGCAAUUUUGUCCCGGUAAACAUGGAGACCAAUCAUUUUCGCAAGCGUUAGAUAAGCCGAAGAACAAAAAAGGACGACGUCGACCAUUGCAGCUAUUUCGCCGUUGUUCAGAUAAAGUUCCGCAGUAGUGUGUACUGCAAAGGUCGCCUAAUUGAUCGUAAAUAAGUUUUAUGUUCUGGUGAAUGAUAAUAAGCUACCAUACAAACUUGGACAAUCUGCGAUUUUUACUAUUUGGUGGCAAAAUUUAUUCAAUAUUGAUUAAUGCAGUGAAAUAGAAAAUGACAAUGAUAAUUAUGAAUAUUAUAAUGAAGAUGUAUAAUUGUACGUCAUAUGAAUGCUAAAAAUCAUUGACUAUUACGAUGCUGAGAAUGAUGAGUGAGUGAACCGAGUGAUCCAAAAGGCGAAUCAACAAAACCAAUCAACAAAAGUUCACCAACAUGAAAAAAAUGAAAAAGAGGCGAGGAAUGAUAAUGAAGAAGUAAUUGUUAAGUCAGAUCUGUAUCAAAAUAAGAUUUUGAUAAGUAAAAAUCUGAAUCAGAAAAAAAAUAUGGACCAGUAUCUGUUAGUUUAACAGAAGAAUAGGCAAAAAGACGAAGAUUCAUAUAGCAAAAGAAAAGAGUGCUAAUAGGCCUUAUUACCAUCAAGCUUUCACUUUUAACUUUCAAGAAAAACAAUGACAAAAUGAUGACCACUCACACAGUACCAUUGGCAAUAAUUUAGAGAUGGAAAAUAAUCAGAAUGGAGUUAGAAUACUAUAAAAACAAGACAACUUAUUUGAAACAAAGAAUGCAAAGUAGGUACUUUACUGCGGAUCGAGAAAUAAUCAACAACUAACGCAAUUAUGUAUCUUAUAUAAAGGCUUACAUACAAUUUUACAAGUGCAUACCGCAAUAUCGCAUAACAGAUUAGCUUCGACCAAUAUUUUAAUAAAUAUUAUGGAAUUUUAAUGAAUUUCGAUUGAUUUCUAUAGAUUCUUAAAUCAUUCAAUGACUUUUUUAUGAAUUACGAUAAUUAUUGGACCGCAUUUUAAUCGUACGGGCAGAGAUAUUGAAUGUGGAGAAUCAGAGGACGAAAAUUUUGUAUUUUAGACAAAAAAAAUGAUCACAGAUGAAGGAUUGCCUAUAGAUGUCGUCUAUGAUUCUCUAGCCCUUUUAGCAAUCAAGAUUAGCCUUAAAGCGUUGAAAAGUAAUACGAUGCCAAAUUUUCGAAAAGAAACUAUUGUAGUUUCAUAAACUAAUGGACAAAAAUAUAAAGCUAUAUUAUCGUUGUUAUUCGAUACUAUCAAAUUUUAUACAUUUAUCAGUUGUAAACCGUGGACAAGAUAGAAAUCUGUACUAUAAGAGACAAAAUUGUUUACGAUGCUAUAAAUCGUGUGACCAAAUUUAUCUUUCUGUUGAGCUGCAUUCAAUUGAUAUGAUUUAUUUAGGUGACUGACAUACAAAUAAUACAUUUUUUAAAGCUAUCUUAAUAUACCUUAAUGUUCAACUUUACAGUUCUUUAAAUCUUCACAGAAACGAGAUUUAAUAAGCUUUGCUGAGAUAUAAAUAAAUGUAAAAGCUAUAGAGCUAUGGAGCGUUAUAAAUAUAACUGUAUAUUUUUAAUUCUUAUUUAAAAAUCAGACAUAGCAACACUUAUAAGGAAUGAAAGUGCGUUGUAAUUUCGAGAAAACAUUUUUUAACGGUCUGAUAAAUAUUAGUAUUACCAGUAAUAAAAUAAUUAGGUAUAUUGUAUUUUAUAAUGAAGAAGCUUUGAAGCAAGCGUUUAUGCAAAUUAUACUGUAUGGAAAUA